GGGGCUGUCAAAUAAAGGUCAGUUCGCAACCUUUCAAGGUUGUUAUCUGGGUUCGAUUCCCAGCAGCUCCA
rnacentral:tRNA from 1 species